UUCUUUUCUUCCACCUUCUUCGCCUCUGUUUCCCUUCUUCCUUUGUUCAUUUCACCUUUUAUUUUCCAUUAAUUUUUAGAUUUUCAUGUACCUGCCUUUCAAAUCUCUUUUCCAAUUCUUGACUAUUUCGAUCAUAUAAUUCCAUAUGUUAUAUAUAUAUCUUUGUUCUCUUUUUCAACCGAUUCACUCCUGGGUUUCUUAUAAUUAGCUAAAUAGCUGCUUCAUUUAGUUUCCAAUAUGAGACUUUAAUUUCUGCGCGAUUGAUUACCUUCUAUUGUACCAUGCCAACACCUUUUAAUUCCAUGCUUGUCUUCAUGGUUUUCUUUUCUUUUUUCUUCAUGGUUAUCUUUUUAGCUUCAUUUUUUUCUACCCAUUUUUCUUUUUCUCAAUUUGGUCUGAUGAUCUUAGAUUAGUAGCGUUUUCCCACGGCUUUCUUGAACCAUGCGCUUGUUUGGAUUUCUUCUUUACCAUUUCUUGUACAGGGGAAGUUCCAAGAAAAGAGAAGAAAGGGGCAGAUCAUUUAGUAAGACGUGGGAAAACAUAGCAGGUGUUGGAAUUCCACUCCUCAUAUAAUUGCAUGUUUUCCACAGGCUUUCUUGAACAGCGAACUCAUUUAGGUUUCAGUUCUUACUCCAUCUUUCCCGCGAAAAGAAAAAGAAAAGGCACAGGAAAGGAGAUUCGGCAUGAAACAUAGUUACUGUUGGCUGUUGGACGAAACUGUUGGAAAAGAUGACAGAUCUUUUGGAGAAUUCCAUAUUAGCUUCUAUAUCAGGAAUUAGUGAGUUCUGGAUUCCUCUCUCUCUCUAAACAAUUACUUAGAGAAUCAUAGAUGGAGAUCAUACCAAUAUUAUGGACAUGUCUUCCACAUCUAUGAGAAUAUCAAUCUAUCUUCCAGAUCAAGUACUUGUGAUAUCUGCAAUCCUCUCUUGAUUUGUAAUUCAACAAUUUUUGGCUUUAUAUGAAGAAUGAUGGAGGAGAUGAUAACAAUUUUAUGGA